ensembl:snoRNA
UGGACCAAUGAUGAGAGCAUGUCAUGAACAGGGCUUAUGAUUAAUCCAGUUCUGUGCACCUGAGGUCCAAU